rnacentral:rRNA from 1 species
CAGAGGAGCCAAGCGUUGUCCGGAUUGACUGGGCGUAAAGCGCACGCAGGCGGGUGCGCGCGUGGGGUGUGAAAUCUGGCCGCUUUAACGGGCCAGGCGCCAUCCCAUACGGCGCGCCUGGAGCCUUGCAGAGGUCGGUGGAAUUGCCGGUGUAGUGGUGAAAUGCGUAGAGAUCGGCAGGAACACCCAGGGGGAAACCAGCCGACUGGGCAAGUGCUGACGCUGAGGUCGCGAGAGCGUGGGGAGCGAACCGGAUUAGAUACCCGGGUAGUCCACGCCGUAAACGAUGGCCACUCGGCCUUUGGGGGCGGAUCAACCGUCCGUGGGGGCCUUAGCAAACGCGGGAAGUGGCCGCCUGGGAACUACGAGCGCAAGCUUA